rnacentral:rRNA from 1 species
UACGUAGGGUGCGAGCGUUGUCCGGAAUUACUGGGCGUAAAGAGCUUGUAGGCGGUUUGUCGCGUCUGCUGUGAAAACUGGAGGCUCAACCUCCAGCCUGCAGUGGGUACGGGCAGACUAGAGUGCGGUAGGGGAGAUUGGAAUUCCUGGUGUAGCGGUGGAAUGCGCAGAUAUCAGGAGGAACACCGAUGGCGAAGGCAGAUCUCUGGGCCGUAACUGACGCUGAGGAGCGAAAGCCAGGGGAGCAAACGGG